rnacentral:rRNA from 1 species
UGCAAGUCGAGCGGUAGCUCCUAUGGGUUAAAAGCUUAUAGGAGUGAGAGCGGCGCACGGUGAGUAACACGUAGGUAACCUACCCCAGAGAGGGGGAUAACACCUCGAAAGGGGUGCUAACCCCCCAUAUACUUACCGAGCGUAAUAGCUCAGGUAAGGAAAGAGUAUAAGGAGGCACUCCUUAUGCUGCUCUGGGAUGGGCCUGCGGCCUAUCAGCUAGUUGGUGGGGUAACGGCCACCAAGGCUAAGACGGGUAGCCGGCCUGAGAGGGUGGUCGGCCACACUGGGACUGAGAACGGCCCAGACUCCUACGGGAGGCAGCAGCCGGGAAUCUUCCGCAAUGGGGGAAACCCUACGGAGCGACGCCGCGUGAGGGAAGAAGCCCUUCGGGGUGUAAACCUCUUUUCUCGGGGAGAAGGCUGACGGUACCCGAGGAAAAAGCCCCGGCUAACUACGUGCCAGCAGCCGCGGUAGACGUAGGGGGCGAGCGUUGUCCGGAUUUACUGGGCGUAAAGGGCGUGUAGGCGGCUUGCAAGUCAGAUGUGGAAGCCCUGAGCUCAACUCAGGGAGGUCAUCUGAUACUGCUAAGCAGAGGGCAGGAGAGGAGGGCGGAACUUCCGGUGUAGCGGUGAAAUGCGUAGAUAUCGGAGGAACGCCGGUGG